rnacentral:rRNA from 1 species
AUUGAACGCUGGCGGAAUGCUUUACACAUGCAAGUCGAACGGUAGAGGGGGCAACCCCCUUGAGAGUGGCGAACGGGUGAGUAAUAUAUCGGAACGUGCCCAGUCGUGGGGAUAACGUAGCGAAAGUUACGCUAAUACCGCAUACGAUCUAAGGAUGAAAGCGGGGGAUCGCAAGACCUCGCGCGAUUGGAGCGGCCGAUAUCAGAUUAGGUAGUUGGUGGGGUAAAGGCUCACCAAGCCAGCGAUCUGUAGCUGGUCUGAGAGGACGACCAGCCACACUGGAACUGAGACACGGUCCAGACUCCUACGGGAGGCAGCAGUGGGGAAUUUUGGACAAUGGACGCAAGUCUGAUCCAGCCAUUCCGCGUGCAGGAUGAAGGCCCUCGGGUUGUAAACUGCUUUUGUACGGACGAAAAGGUUCUCUUUAAUACGUAGGAG